rnacentral:lncRNA from 1 species
AGUACAUUAAAAAAGGCAUUUACUUUCCAUCUCUGUCUUCAGAAAACUUUGCAAAGGUUCAACCUCACUCACAAAUAUUCCAACAAUGCAGCAAGGUACAAAAGCACUAGCAUCCUCACACUCAUCUGCAAACUUAUAAACACUAUAUGGAGGAGGCAAAUGGUAAAUGAACUUAAGGUUCUCAGGGAGGCAAUCUUAGCCCACAAAAACCUUCGUAAUAACUUCAGUAAUUCAGUCUGCGAGAGUUGCACCAAGAAUCUUAAUAUAUGCAGCAUUUUACGCAUUUCUGCUGACAUCACACCACCUAACCAGGACAUUGAAAAACAUUUCCUGUCCAUCCCACAGUACUGCAUAUCCCAUCAGGAACAUCUCAUUUGUAAAAAUAUAAGCCAGGUGCAGUAUUACUGAAACAAGGUGUUCAUGAAAAUUUAAACGUG